GACGAACGCUGGCGGCGUGCCUAAUACACGCAAGUCGAGCGCAGGAAGCUCACGGAACUCUUCGGAGGGAAGUGAAGGGAAUGAGCGGCGGACGGGCGAGUAACACGUAAGGAACCUGCCCCAAGGAUUGGGAUAACUCCGAGAAAUCGGAGCUAAUACCGAAUAGUUCUUCAGACCGCAUGGUCUGAUGAUGAAAGGCGCUCCGGCGUCACCUUGGGAUGGCCUUGCGGUGCAUUAGCUAGUUGGUGGGGUAAUGGCCCACCAAGGCGACGAUGCAUAGCCGACCUGAGAGGGUGAUCGGCCACACUGGGACUGAGACACGGCCCAGACUCCUACGGGAGGCAGCAGUAGGGAAUCUUCCACAAUGGACGAAAGUCUGAUGGAGCAACGCCGCGUGAGUGAUGAAGGUUUUCGGAUCGUAAAACUCUGUUGUAAGGGAAGAACAGGUAUGAGAGGUAAUGCUCAUGCUAUGACGGUACCUUACGAGAAAGCCACGGCUAACUACGUGCCAGCCGCCGCGGUAAGAC
rnacentral:rRNA from 1 species